AUAUUGGACAAUGGGGGCAACCCUGAUCCAGCCAUGCCGCGUGUGUGAAGAAGGUNUUNNGAUUGNANAGCACUUUAAGUUGGNNNNNAGGGCAGUAAGUUAAUACCUUGCUGUUUUGACGUUACCGACAGAAUAAGCACCGGCUAACUUCGUGCCAGCAGCCGCGGUAAUACGAAGGGUGCAAGCGUUAAUCGGAAUUACUGGGCGUAAAGCGCGCGUAGGUGGUUCAGUAAGAUGGGUGUGAAAUCCCCGGGCUUAACCUGGGAACUGCUUUCAUAACUGCUGAGCUAGAGUACGGCAGAGGGUGGUGGAAUUUCCUGUGUAGCGGUGAAAUGCGUAGAUAUAGGAAGGAACACCAGUGGCGAAGGCGACCACCUGGGCUAAUACUGACACUGAGGUGCGAAAGCGUGGGGAGCAAAC
rnacentral:rRNA from 1 species